GUCAUAAUACGACAAGAUGACGUUUCUUUCAAAUUGAAGCCACCCCACUUGCCUCUCUGAUUAUUAUUUAUGAAGGUCGGAAAAUACAGCUGAACUUCUCAACUCCAUGAUUCAUGCGCGGGUAUGUGUGUGUAUAUGUAAGUCCAUGUUUAGCUGUCGGAAAACAGAAGGAUCAAGCAUGGGUAUGCCUAAGUCAUUUUUGCUUCUGCUGCUGCUAAUAGUCACUGUAUCUGCAUCCCAGAAACAAAGAACCAUAGAAGCGAGGGCGCUUUCAUCCCUACCUCAACAAAAAUAUUCCAAGAUUUUUCAGACGCUGGGAGUUGUUUGCAAGUGCUGUGAUUCAACAGGACCUGAAUGCGCAACUACUUGGACGGGUUCAUGCCAUGAUCUCCAAUGCCUUCCUGGAAGAUAUAGACUAGAAUAAUCCGUGAUUUCCUUGUGCUUCUCUUCCUAGUGGUUUUUGUAGAUAUAUUUAGUCAUACUCGAUCGAUUUGACAUAAAAUUUUGCAUUUUAAAAUACUGCAACAAAGUAGAGGCGUUCAGCUUUUAGCUUGGCCAUGUUCUAGCUUCAUAAAAUGAUCCUAACAUGACAAGCUUAAUCUGGUCAGCAGACAUAUUAAAGACUAUAUAGAAUUUUUACGCUUAACUUC